UACGGGGGGGGCAAGCGUUGUUCGGAAUUACUGGGCGUAAAGGGCUCGUAGGCGGCCAACUAAGUCAGACGUGAAAUCCCCUCGGCUUAACCGGGGAACUGCGUCUGAUACUGGAUGGCUUGAGUUUUGGGGAGAGGGGAUGCGGAAUUCCAGGUGUAGCGGUGAAAAUGCGUAGAUAUCUGGAGGAACACCGGUGGCGAAGGCGGCAUCCUGGACCAACACUGACGCUGAGUGAGCGAAAAGCCAGGGGGAGCAAACGGGAU
rnacentral:rRNA from 1 species